rnacentral:rRNA from 1 species
GACGAGGGUCCCUAGCGUUGUUCGGAAUCAUUGGGCGUAAAACGUGUGUAGGCGGCUUCGAAAGUCAGAUGUGAAAGCCCUGGGCUUAACCUAGGAAGUGCAUUUGAUACUACGGAGCUAGAGUAUCGGAGAGGGUAGUGGAAUUCCUGGUGUAGUGGUGAAAUACGUAGAUAUCAGGAGGAACACCGGAGGCGAAGGCGGCUACCUGGCCGAAUACUGACGUUGAGACACGAAAGCGUGGGGAGCAAACAGG